rnacentral:rRNA from 1 species
GAUGAACGCUGACAGAAUGCUUAACACAUGCAAGUCUUUGGCGAAGCUGUGCUCGCACAGCCUAGCCAAGGCGGACGGGUGAGUAACGCGUAAGGAACUUGCCCUGCAGUCAGGGAUAACAGACGGAAACGACUGAUAAGACCUGGUAAAGUCAGGCGGACUCAUGUCCAGCCUGAUGAAAAGAGAUGCUGCAGGAGAGCCUUGCGUCCUAUUAGCUUGUUGGUGGGGUAACGGCCCACCAAGGCGAUGAUAGGUAGCCGGCCUGAGAGGGUGGACGGCCACAAGGGGACUGAGAUACGGCCCUUACUCCUACGGGAGGCAGCAGUGGGGAAUAUUGGACAAUGGGGGCAACCCUGAUCCAGCAAUUCUGUGUGCAAGAUGAAGGUUUUCGGAUUGUAAAGUGCUUUCAGCAGGGAAGAAAAAAAUGACGGUACCUGCAGAAGAAGCGACGGCUAAAUACGU